rnacentral:rRNA from 1 species
UACGAAGGGGGCUAGCGUUGUUCGGAAUUACUGGGCGUAAAGGGCGCGCAGGCGGCUCUUCAAGUCAGAUGUGAAAGCCCCCGGCUCAACUGGGGAGGGUCACGCGAUACUGAUCGACUCGAAGGCAGGAGAGGGUAGUGGAAUUCCCGGUGUAGUGGUGAAAUGCGUAGAUAUCGGGAGGAACACCAGUGGCGAAGGCGACUACCUGGCCUGUUCUUGACGCUGAGGCGCGAAAGCUAGGGGAGCAAACGGG